UACGUAGGGUGCAAGCGUUAAUUGGAAUUACUGGGCGUAAAGCGUGCGCAGGCGGUUAUAUAAGACAGUUGUGAAAUCCCCGGGCUCAACCUGGGAACUGCAUCUGUGACUGUAUAGCUAGAGUACGGUAGAGGGGGAUGGAAUUCCGCGUGUAGCAGUGAAAUGCGUAGAUAUGCGGAGGAACACCGAUGGCGAAGGCAAUCCCCUGGACCUGUACUGACGCUCAUGCACGAAAGCGUGGGGAGCAAACAGG
rnacentral:rRNA from 1 species